rnacentral:lncRNA from 1 species
ACGAGAGCGGAGAGGACGCGGUGACGCUCGCUCCGACCUGUUACUGAGCGAAUUCACAUAUUUUUGUCUUUCGCUUGAAUUUUUUCACUUUAAUUCGUCCAUACACCUGUUCUGUGUUUGCGUGUGUGUUCUGUCUGUGUGUGAGCAUUAUUUCUAACAAAGACAUUUAUUUUGUGUGUGUGAUUUUUUUUUGGUUUUGUUUGCAUUCUGGAAGAAACAAAGUUCUGAAAUUGCAUUCCCUUGGGCCUGUGUGUGCGCAUGGACGUGUACAUGUAUGUGCGUCUGUGUGUACGUCUGCUUGUGUACGUGCGCACGCGGGAUGGGCUAUCGCAGUUGUCAUGGCAAUGCCCUUAUGAGAACGGACAAGCCAGGGGCGCAAAGCGAGAGCAUCCUCGGCUCGAGUGGUUCUGCAACUUGCAACGCCCAUCAUCGGAAUCUGCUAAAGAGUUAUGAAUAAAUAAAUAAUGAAGCAAAAAGAUAAAUAGACAGAUAAAUACGAUAAGCGAAUAGAGACGUAAAUUAGGAAACCAGGAAAUACAGACACAUCGAAGAAUAAUAAAUGAAGGAUAAGUGAAAAAAAAAAAAGGGAAAGAGAAAGAGACAAGAAAUAAUGAUAAAAAUGAAAAAUAAAUGAAUGAUGAAUAAAUAAACAGGUAGAUACAGCAAAUUACAGAUUAUAUUUUCUAUCAAAUGAAAAUUAGCGCGAAUGACUUUUAAGACAAUAUAAGAAAUCAUAUAAAUAAUUUAGUGAAAAAGGUAAGACACAAGGAUGAUAUAGAUAAGACAUAUCUAUAAUAAAAAAGAUAUAAAGAGAUAGUGGACAUAAAAAAAAGUAUUUGUUUUGAUAACAACACUGGAGAAAGCAUUGGAAUAAAUAUUAUUGGUCAUUAUGCAAUAAAAUCGACGAAGGCAAACAACAACAACAGCAACAAAAGCAACAACAGCAACAACAGCAACAACAAAAACAACAACAACAGCUGUUCUUACAACAACAACAACAACAACAACAACAAAAUCAACAACAAUGGGAGCUUCGGAGGAAACAACCGUGAGCUUGACUGGUCAAACAGAGAGCAUCGUGGAGACCCGGAGCGCAAGAAGACGGAAUCUAGA